GCGGGUAUAGUUUAGUGGUAGAACCCCAGCCUUCCAAGCUGGUUGCGUCGGUUCGAUUCCGUCUACCCGCACCA
rnacentral:tRNA from 2 species